rnacentral:rRNA from 1 species
GUAGGGGAUGAGGUGUGAUUAGGAGUGAAAAGCUAAUCGAACCCGGAGAUAGCUGGUUCUCCUCGAAAGCUAUUUAGGUAGCGCCUCAUAUGUAUCCUCUCGGGGGUAGAGCACUGUUAUGGCUAGGGGGUCAUCGCGACUUACCAAACCAUUGCAAACUCCGAAUACCGAGACGGACUGUAUGGGAGACACACGGCGGGU